UACGAAGGGGGCUAGCGUUGCUCGGAAUCACUGGGCGUAAAGGGUGCGUAGGCGGGUCUUUAAGUCAGGGGUGAAAUCCUGGAGCUCAACUCCAGAACUGCCUUUGAUACUGAAGAUCUUGAGUUCGGGAGAGGUGAGUGGAACUGCGAGUGUAGAGGUGAAAAUUCGUAGAUAUUCGUCAAGAACACCAGUGGCGAAGGCGGCUCACUGGCCCGAUACUGACGCUGAGGCACGAAGCGU
rnacentral:rRNA from 1 species